rnacentral:rRNA from 1 species
CAGUAGCCGCGGGAAUACGUAGGUGGCGAGCGUUGUCCGGAUUUAUUGGGCGUAAAGGGAGUGUAGGCGGUCUUUUAAGUCUGAUGUGAAAGCCCACGGCUCAACCGUGGAGGGUCAUUGGAAACUGGGAGACUUGAGUGCAGAAGAGGAGAGCGGAAUUCCAUGUGUAGCGGUGAAAUGCGUAGAGAUGUGGAGGAACACCAGUGGCGAAGGCGACUCUCUGGUCUGUAACUGACGCUGAGGAGCGAAAGCGUGGGGAGCGAACAGGAUUAGAUACCCCCGUAGUCCCUGUCUCUUAUAC